UAAUGCAUGGCGCUUAAUCCUCGAUUCAAGAGGAGCGGGGGACCCGUUCUCCUGGGGCGUAUCGCCAUUUGGCGUAGGGCACCUCUUCGGCCCGAGCCCGUCAGCUAACCUCGCAGGCAUCGAUGAGGGGACUC
rnacentral:sRNA from 2 species